GUCCAGACUCCUACGGGAGGCAGCAGUGAGUCCUCUUGGUCAAUGUUCUUGAGCCUGACCCCUCCAAGCCGCGUUCCGUAAGAAGGCGCCCGGCGUCGUACCCUUCUUUUGUCGGGGCCCCAAGGGCGCCCCGCGUGGCGUUGUGAGUGUACCCGAAGAAAAAGCAUCGGCUCACUCCGUGCCAGCAGCCGCGGUAAUACGGAGGAUGCGAGCGUUAUCCGGAUUUAUUGGGUUUAAAGGGUGCGUAGGCGGUCCGGAAAGUCAGGGGUAAAAGCCGGGGGCUCACCCCCGGCGAGCCGUUGAAACUGUCGGACUAGAGACGGCGAGAAGUACGCGGAAUGCGCGGUGUAGCGGUGAAAUGCAUAGAUAUCGCGCAGAACUCCGAUUGCGAAGGCAGCGUACCGGCGCCGGACUGGCGCUGAGGCACGAAAGCGUGGGUAUCGAACAGGAUUAGAUACCCGAGUA
rnacentral:rRNA from 1 species